GGGUUUUACCCCCUUUUCUGUCUUGGCAUCACUUGUUAAAACCCUUUUCCUUUCUUCUUUCUCCAGCUAUUUAUUCACAUCAUGACGCGCCCGAACUCAAAGUCUGGUUCUCCCCCCAAGACCCCCAAGUCCAACUAUAAAGCCUUCUAUUCAUGGGCCCCCGACGAGCUCUUGAACGAAUGUACCACCCUGACAACCAUUCAGGACCUGGAGAAUCAUCAUGGGGAUCCUCACUUGUAUAAUUUUAAUGCUUU
rnacentral:lncRNA from 1 species